UGAAAGUUUGUUCUAUUGUGUACGUCGUUAUUCUCAAUUUUUAAUCGGUGACGUGUCCCACGUGCUUAUUGCGUCGCGAUGGCGUCGCGGUGUAAAAAGUGCGGACAACGAACAAAACAAAUCUACGAGAUUGGAAGAG